AAGACUGGGAUAACUCCGGGAAACCGGGGCUAAUACCGGAUGCUUGAUUGAACCGCAUGGUUCAAUUAUAAAAGGUGGCUUUUAGCUACCACUUACAGAUGGACCCGCGGCGCAUUAGCUAGUUGGUGAGGUAACGGCUCACCAAGGCGACGAUGCGUAGCCGACCUGAGAGGGUGAUCGGCCACACUGGGACUGAGACACGGCCCAGACUCCUACGGGAGGCAGCAGUAGGGAAUCUUCCGCAAUGGACGAAAGUCUGACGGAGCAACGCCGCGUGAGUGAUGAAGGUUUUCGGAUCGUAAAACUCUGUUGUUAGGGAAGAACAAGUACCGUUCGAAUAGGGCGGUACCUUGACGGUACCUAACCAGAAAGCCACGGCUAACUACGUGCCAGCAGCCGCGGUAAUACGUAGGUGGCAAGCGUUGUCCGGAAUUAUUGGGCGUAAAGCGCGCGCAGGCGGUUUCUUAAGUCUGAUGUGAAAGCCCCCGGCUCAACCGGGGAGGGUCAUUGGAAACUGGGGAACUUGAGUGCAGAAGAGGAGAGUGGAAUUCCACGUGUAGCGGUGAAAUGCGUAGAGAUGUGGAGGAACACCAGUGG
rnacentral:rRNA from 1 species